GCCAUGUUGGGGAGGACGCUGCGGGCCGCGGGCGAGGUGUGAGAGCCGGGGGGAGGACGAGCCGGCCUCCGCCCUGCGGCCGCCCCGGCCGGGGGCACGUGCUGGCGCUCACACCCAACCCUCGCUUCUCCUCGCCCCGGGGCUCCCCCGCCCUGCCUCCGCACCCGGGCCGCUCAGGUGCCUCUCGUUUCGGCCCCGACCGGCCUCCCCGCGGCCCAGAGGACUGCUGUGGGGGAAAGGGAAGGAAGCUGGAGGCAGUGUCCUUGGUCCUGGCACAGGGCUCGGAGCAGACCACAGGAGCAGGCGAAGGAAAGGUGUUUCACCAGCCAGCAGCACGGCUCUGCAUAUUCACUCUAGGGCUCUUCAAAACAAUACCGGGAUGAGUAGUUAGGUGGAGUACGGCAUUACCAUAGAAGCAGUCGCUGAGAAAUAACAGUACAGAGAUUAGGUAAAUCAGACAGCCCGGAUGGAGCGGAGUGAAGGGGAUGGCACAACUGAGAAAAACUAGCACAGUUGUUCUCCAGCAACGUGAUGGCUUCCGCGGAGCUGGUGCUCUGAACACCCCGGUACAACAUUUGAUGAGUAUGCUGGGUCCUGGACUGAAAACAUAAAAGAAGAGGCUUGCUGCUGUCCCAGUCUCUAUCAGCAUCGUCUGGGAACUAUGGCUUCAUGAGAGCACCUUUGGUCUUCAGCGGCAUUUGGCGGCCAUUGCUUUUCCCUCUGCUCUGGCGCUGGAGGUGAGUCUCAUCUCGUGGCAGCAUCCCUGCUGCAGAAAUAAUCAAGGGUGACCCAGAGCUCUUCAGUUGAAGCAGUCAGCAGCAUAUUGAACAGGGUCUACAAACAGGCUGUCAGGAAGCCAGGAGAUCAGACAGAGAACAAGAGAGGUGUUGGUUAUCUUGGAUUUGGAAUGUAACUAGUUGAUGUUAAAGAGAUUCCCUUGGAUUCUCAGACCAUUUGGAAGUCUAUCAACAACAAUAUGUAGAAAAGCAGUGAUAGAGAUGGAAGAGCGCUGGUGUA